GGGAGGAGGAUGUCUCACAGAGCGGCCAGCGUCCGGAUCAGCCAGUGACUCUUAACAGCGGCGGGCCUCAGACCCCAGCGCGGACUCGGACUUUGUCUUUGGGAGCCCCUGCUCUGCCCUUCCUGGUUUCCGGCAAGAUCGCAGAGGAGCCGGCGUGCCUCUCUGCCCUCCAGCCUUCCUCACCAUGUCCAAGAUGCCGGCCAAGAAGAAGAGCUGCUUCCAGAUCACUAGUGUCACCACGGCCCAGGUGGCCACUAGCAUCACCGAGGACACUGAGAGCCUGGACGACCCGGACGAGUCACGUACAGAGGACGUCUCCUCCGAGAUAUUCGACGUUUCUCGGGCCACGGAUUAUGGCCCUGAGGAGGUCUGCGAGCGCAGCUCCUCCGAAGAGACGCUCAACAAUGUUGGGGAUGCAGAGACUCCGGGGACCGUCUCCCCAAACCUCCUCCUGGACGGGCAGCUGGCGGCCGCGGCGGCUGCUCCCGCCAACGGAGGAGGAGCCCUUUCGGCCCGGAGCGUGGCUGGGGCGCUGGCCAGUACCCCGGCGGCGGCCACCACCUCGGCCCCCUCUUCGGGGGCACCCGGCGCCCCCCCGGUCACGGGCUCGUCUGCCGGGCCAGGGACCGCAGCCCCACCACAGCCCCCCACGACUUGUAGUUCCCGUUUUCGUGUGAUCAAGCUGGACCACGGGAGCGGGGAGCCCUACCGCCGCGGCCGAUGGACGUGUAUGGAAUACUAUGAGCGGGAUUCAGAUAGCAGCGUCCUGACCAGGUCCGGGGAUUGCAUUAGGCACAGCAAUACUUUUGACCAGACUGCGGAGCGGGACAGUGGCCUGGGCGCCACCGGAGGGUCGGUGGUGGUGGUGGUGGCCUCCAUGCAGGGGGCGCACGGGCCCGACUCGGGAACUGACAGUUCCUUGACUGCUGUGUCACAGCUACCCCCGUCGGAGAAAAUGAGCCAGCCCGCCCCGGCCCAGCCGCAGAGUUUUGGCGUUGGGCAGCCACAGCCACCGCCGCCCGUAGGUGGGGCUGUGGUUCAAAGCGCGGCUCCAGUGCCGCCGUUCCCGGGAGCCGCGGCCGGGCCUCAGCAAAUGAUGGCAGCCCCGCAGCCAAGCCAGCCCCAGGGAACCGGCCCCGGCGUCCUCCCGCAGGGGCCCAAUGGACAGGGGCUGCCGCUGACGAAUGUAACCCUGACGCAGCCCGGCGUGCCCCUGCCGCAGCAGCCGGGCCCCGCCGUCGGCGCUCCUACGACGCAGCCGCCCCAGCAGUUCGCGUACCCUCAGCUACCGCCUGGGCAUUUGCUGCCAGUCCAGCCCGCGGGUCAGGGUGAGUACCUACAGCAGCACGUGGCCGGCCUGCAGCCGCCAAGCCCCGCGCAGCCCUCGUCCGCCGGAGCGAGCCUCGCCACCGCUGCCAGCCUUCCAGUGGGCACCGGCCCGAAUGCCGCCUCGGUGGGUGCGCAGAUAAUGGGCGUGUCUUCCUUGCCCAGUGAAGCUGUGGCCCCGGGGCCGGGACCCGCGCCAGGCGGGCAGGCCGCGCCUGGUCAGCCGGCCGGAGUGCCCUUGGCUGCUGUGGGAUGCGCCGUGCCGCCGGGCCUGGUCCCCCCUGGGACCGGGCAGCUCCAGUCCGUGCCUCCACCGCAGAUGGGUGGCAGUGGUGUGUCGUCAGCCGUGCCUGGCGGCCCCCACGCAGUACUGCCCGGAGUUCCAAACGUGCCUGCAGCCGUGCCCGCUCCAAGCGUGCCUAGUGUGUCUACCACCUCUGUUACUAUGCCAAAUGUACCCGCGCCUUUGGUCCAGUCGCAGCAGCUGAGCAGCCAUACGCCAGUCAGCAGGAGCAGCAGCAUAAUCCAGCAUGUUGGGCUGCCCUUAGCGCAAGGCACACCCAGUGCACCAACAAGUCUACCACAGUCUGACCUAAGCCAGUUUCAGACUCAGACCCAACCUUUAGUCGGGCAUGUUGACGAUACUAGAAGAAAAUCAGAACCCCUACCUCAACCACCACUUUCUCUCAUUGCUGAAAAUAAGCCUGUUGUGAAGCCUCCUGUUGCAGAUGCCCUGGCAAACCCCCUUCAAUUAACACCUAUGAACAGUCUCGCCACCUCUGUAUUCAGCAUAGCUAUUCCUGUUGAUGGUGAUGAAGACAGAAUUUUUUUUAGAAUUCAGCAUCGGAGGAGGAAUGUGACAUAAUAAUGAUCGAAAGCCGAAAGUUUAAAAGUUGUGAUGCCCUCACAUGGUUGGAGGGUUAUUCUAUUCUAAGGACUGAAUGUUGUCCACAAGAGUGUCUCAUCAGGUCAUAAAUUGUGCAUCUGGGGGAGGUGGUGUAGCCAUUGACAACAAAAUAGAACAAGCAAUGGAUCUGGUGAAAAGCCAUUUGAUGUAUGCAGUAAGAGAAGAAGUGGAAGUUCUAAAGGAACAAAUAAAAGAAUUAGUUGAAAGAAACUCUUUACUUGAACGAGAAAAUGCACUGUUAAAAUCUCUUUCAAACAAUGAUCAGUUAUCCCAACUCCCAGCCCAACAGGCCAAUCCUGGUAGCACUUCUCAACAGCAAGCAGUGAUAGCACAGCCUCCGCAGCCAGCGCAACCUCCACAGCAGCCGAAUGUCUCCUCAGCAUAAAGCUUUCUUGCCUCAUUAAGAAAAAAAACUGAAAGCAAUCUAUCCUUGUGUGCCACUGGUAUUCUUUCCACUUUAUACGAAAGCAAGUAGCCAUGCUUCGGUUGUGUGUUUGGCCUUUUCAGUAUUAGACAAUCAUUCUGCAGGAGCUUUUCCUCCCUUUGAGAUGUCAUGCAGCAUUGUUGAUGUCCAGUUUCAUGUCAUCAGUACACAAGGAGAAUAAUAGAUGGGGUUUAUUAAAGCAAGCAAAGUCUGCGUUUUACCUGGUGCGCAUGAGUGGGGUCUUUUAAGAGCUUUGGUGGCUCUCCCGUUUUUCCUAUUAUCCAUGGAUUUACCCUGAGCCUUCCUAUCACAUUAUAAAUAACAGUUCAUCUAAAGAGCCACUUUUCUUUCAAUAUCAGUAACAUUUGCCUACGUAAGUUUUCAUUUAUUUGUGUUUUAUUUAUUACAGGGCUGCUAUUUUCAUAAUGUACAUGAACAAUGUCACAGAACUUUUUUAAUUUUUUUGAAUUAUUAUAAGUAUCAGUAAAGGAUUUGAAAGACAGGAUUGCAUUUAAUAGAUAAAACGUUUAGGCAAUAAUUGAACAAAAGAAUCCUGGCAUAUUUCUAACACUAAUGGCAAUUUACCUUCGGUAUUUAUUUUCAGUAGUACAGACCCAGCUUGAAUGUAAAUUUUGUAUAGUGUAAGUAUGAAGAACAUAGUGCAACUGUACAGGUAGUCACCAGUUAUUGUGAUAUAAUAAAUAAUUGGGCUAUUUUGAUGAAGAAAACUUUGUUCAUUUGUUUCUACUUUCUAAUAGAGAAAUUGCCACGAUUCCUCUGCUUUUUGACAUUUCGUAUGACUUUUCUUUUUUCGGGUGGGAAUAAAAAGCUGUGAAAUUGUUCAACCUACUUUGUAACCAAAGAAGCAAAGCUGUGUAAUGGAGUUUUUUUUAUAAUGCACAUUCUUUAUGUAUUUUUAUUUAGUGUUUUCUCGGUCACAAUUUUCUUUGCUGUCUAGCAUGAUCUGCAUGACCUAUAAUCUUUGAACCACUUUCGUACCUCAUGUUUUUAUCCAGCACUCUUAUUGUAAUAUGUACUAGUCUGUGAACAAUGUCAAAUAAAAAAGAACGAACAGGUAGUAUGGUGGAGCUGAGCUAGUGUACUGUAUACACUAGUUGUAAAAAAAAAAAAAAAAAAUGAAGUGAGCCAUCUUUUGUUCAUUUAAAAUGGUGUUUUGAAUUUCGUAUGCAGAAAACGUUUUGUUACAUUGCAGAUUUUAAUGUAUUUAAUAAAUGCAACAUGCAGAUUAAGUGCAGUGUAUACUGAGUAUUUAAAUUAAAAUGUACAUUUCAUAAAUACAGUUUCAAGAGAAAGCAUCAUUUUGUGUAUACUAACACAUUAAGUGUAUGUCAGAAAUUGAUGUAUAAAUAUAUAUUUUAACACAUUUUCUGAAAUUAAACUGCAGUUUUGUUGAAA